GAAAGGGAAAGGGAACCAAGGACCAAAAAAAAUAAAAGUGGGGAAGGGAGCCUUGGAAAAGAUUAAAACCCACCCCAAACACAGGAAAGUUUUCUUCUUGGGUUAGGCGCGAAGAAAGUACACGGGGAAAAAAGGUUUUAAAUUGAUGAUCCCAGCGACAAAUCCCAGGAGGCUUGCAAGUCAACUCGCCCCAUUUUGUGUUUUUAACUCCUUCUGUCAGGUCUCACCUCUUUACCUUCUGCAUCCCAGUUAAACCCUCCUCGGCCCCCUUGGCUGGUGAUUAAACUCCGAAGGUACACGGGGUCUUUCAGUGAAUGAACGGCCGACAGAAAGGGCCCCGCCCCGCCCCCCAGCUGCGUUUUUCAUUUUUCCUCCACUUCGUGCCCUCCAUGAACACAGGGCUAAUCUUGGGCCCUUGUCGAGGAAGAGGCUGCUGAAGUAGCUGCUGAAGUAGCUGCUGGGUUCCAAUAUUCAACUCACAAGGCGCCUUCUUUGUCUGAGAAGGAAAAACACACUGGUCACCAUAAUAAGGUGAACUGGUGGCCGUGGGGCAGGGGCCACGGGCCUGAGGCCACCCUUGAAAUAUGGGGGCCGGAGCCCAGUGUCCACCUGCUCCCCAUUUGUCUCUGCCUCUGUCCCUGCUCGCGGCCCCAUCCCGCGGGGUUGAAAGCUGAAGGCAGCUCCGGGCCACGGAUAGGGCUGCUUGGUAGAAAGUUCCUUUGUUUGACCCCUCAGUGGGCCGGGGCGAGCCAAGCCCUGGGGGUGCUGUUUCCAGUCCUUGCUCGUCCCCGACCUGUUUCAGGACUGCCUAGCAUGAAACAUUUGAGAUUCUCAGAGGAGAGAAAGUCAGGUCAAGGGUGUGGACCCUGUGGCAUUAUCACGGAGUCAGUGGCCAAAUGCCCCGUCCAGGUCAAGAAGUGAGCGGGCAGUGGUACCCACAGCCCCCCUCCCCCCAUGGAAGGGCACGAUUCAGGCUCGCAUUUGGCCCCCACACACUGAUGAGACUGAGGUUCAGAGGGCCAGACGUUUGUCAGGAUCAUUCAGAUCUGACACGAGAACCUGUCGCCACUCCUACCCCCCCAAACGUCGCCCCUCCCCCAUAUGUCCUGGGCCCCACCUGAAUCCCCAGUCCCCCCCUUUCUGUCCUGAUCCUUGACCGCCAGCGUCCAUGAGUAGAAACCUGCCUGUGUUUUUUUUAAGUUGUCUUUAUUACAGUUAAUUGACAAUGUCCUGUCAAUUUCUGCAACGCCGCAGAGUGACCCAGUCACACGUAGACAAAUACGUCUGUGCUGUCCAGCAGGGAAACCUGCCCUCAGGAAUCCUGAGUUCUGGGCAUUUCGCCCCCUAAGGUCGCUGAAUCAAGGUUAGAUCACGCCAGUUAAUUUCCAGGCUCCAGCGAGAUCUUCAGCCGAACAGAAAAAAACUAAAGGAGAUGUGAGAUGUUUGGAGCAAGAAACUUUUAUUAGGUGAAAAGCCCUCCCUUCUUGAACUUAGCUGUUGGCAUGCGUGGAUCAGAAUUAGAUGCUCUUUGCAAGUUAGCAAAAGCAACCCUAGUCCCCUCCGCUAAAUGCCAUCAAAGGAUGUCCAGGGGGCCGGUUGGGGUGACCGCCUCUUUUGGCGGCUGUGACCCACGUGUUGCCCGGACCUGGGAACUGGAUGAGGGCGAGCACCUCUGAGAGUAGGGAUCCCACGAAAACCUACCCUCCGUGCAGCUUUUGCAGAGUAAAAUAAUAGAGCAGUUGCUGGUGUUUCUAAAAGGAUUUCAUUUUAUUAAUUUGUUUUUAUUACUGUUGAUUCACAAUGUUCUGUCAAGUAAGAGGAUUUAUUUUAAAUAGGAAAAAAAAUCCAUAGGACCGUCAACUACAUACCAAUAAUGAAAACAUGCCCCAAGUCCUGAAUAUUCUGGCAUUUGAGAACCUGGGGAGGGGUGCAGGCAGUUGUGUGCUGAGCCCCCCAGCAGAGGGGUCUGUGUGAAUUGCUUAGCCUCGGGUGUGGAGGGGCCGGUUUUAACUUGUGUCCUUGUUUCUGUGGCACACGGGACCCCUGCGCCCCACUCUCCAAGCCCAGAGGUCCUGCCAGGCUUCCUGCAUUGGUCUUCCGACUCCCAGGGCCCACUGGUCCCAGAAUCCAUCAUGAAAUCAGUCCUGGAGGCUCAGGAGUGAGGCCAGGAGACACCCCCCUUUCUUCUGAUUUUCCAUUUUGUUUUUUGUUUUUUUUCUGCUCUUACUGCUCUCCCUCUGUUCUCCACCCUGGCUUCUCUCCCUUACUCCAUCACCAUGUCCUAGUCUGGUCCCCUGGGGGUGCCCGAGUCCAGCCCACUCCUCCUUGGGGUGUCCCAGCACCAGCCUGGCACCAAGUGGGGUUCAGUAAGAGUAUGUGGGAUGUCUGCUUGGACAGGUGAGUCAAUGAAGGAACUCGACUGCCCGACUCAGCUGCUAGACGGGAGUUGUGGGGAACGCAGGGAGUUGCAGGUCCGGGGGGAGGGUGGAUGUGCUUUCCCUGAGAGGAGUGGGCGCCGCCCACCCCCAGCCCCAUUUGAGUGGGGCCUCACCAGUCUCACCCCUUCAUUCACUCAUGCGUCCACCCCGUCAUCCAACAGUUGAUCCUUACUGAGCAAGCCCACCGCCUGGCCCCGGGCUGGGCACCUGCCACGCUAGGGCGUCCCUUGAUGGCCUCUACCUCCCCAGGAGGGUGGGCCGGGGGGCUGCUUCUGCUGAGAGUGGCCUUGCGACUCCAGGGCGCUGGAGCAGCAGCUCCUGCUCCGGAGAGAAGGCAGCGGGAGGAGGGUGCGAGGGGUGGGCUGGUUUGCCUCUGGCCAGUGGGCCCCCUUUUCAGUCAACUCCUCCCUCCUCCAGGGGGAGCCUUGAACCUGCCCUUCUCUAGGGCUCUGCUGCCGGCCCGAGCCAGCCCCUCCUGCCCUCUUGGCCUCCCCCUGUCCCCCAAGACCCACCCCAUGGCUGAGUGCUGAUGACUCUUCUGGACCCUCAGCCCUGAAGUUCAGGACUGAGGUGGGGGCACAGGGACAGCUGUGGUUCAUGUGUGUCCCCUCGGGCUCUGGUCCCACAGGUCUCCUUCUGGAGUUGGGGUCUAUGAGCUGGACCCCUCCCUCCGUGACGCCUUCCUCCCUCCUCUGCGCCCCCAGUCGUUGGCUGGGGCCUGUCCAGGGCAAAGGGCAGAUGACUGGGGGACCUCCGGGGAGCGUUGCAGGCUCUGCCGAGGCCUGGCUGCCCACCUGUUCUCUACCUGGCGGCUCCUUCCCUGCCUCCCUCCCCCCAGCCAGGGUGCCUGCCCACCUGGAGCUCUGCUUGCCCGGCCCGCCCUUCUAUGCCCCCCGUCACUGGGCUCAGGACCUUCUGGGUCCUGGCUGUGCCGCCCUCUGCCUAACAGGUUGUUUUUCCUGCUGCCUCGCCCACCUCCCACCUGCGUGCCUUUUGCCCUCCCCGUCCCCCGGUGCAAGGAAGCCCUCCCCGCUCAGGGCCACCCAAGUUUCCAGCGGGUCUCCGGUGCCCCGGGAUAAGGCCGAGCUGGCCCGCCACCUCCCCCGGUCAUCCUCAGAUGCCUCUUCUCCUGGCCGUGGCCUCUCAGGGUCUCAAUGACGGUGGGCUACAACCAGAUUUUUGUCCUGCUCCCCUCCCCACACCCCCUAGACCCCUCGUCAUCGGGUCCUGCUGGGCCUGCCCAGAUGGCUGCCCUGUCCCCCUGAGUCCCAGGCCCCGCCCCACCCCAGGCCCCAUGGCCAGUCUGGGGGCUGCCACCCGGCCUGUCGCCUCUCUUCUUGCACCUCUUCCCAUCACGGCAUCCCCACGAGCCACCUCCCUCCACAGAAAGCCAAGCCGCAGGUCGGCCUGUCCUUGACGCACUGGCAGCGAGCAUCGGCUGAAGAACCGGAUGGAAGAGGCGGGAGAGUCACCACGGACCGGCGUUCCUUCAGGUCGGUCGCCUGGCGUCUUCGGGCUGCGACUCCUUCCCGGAUCGGGCUGAAGCCAUCAUCUGGUUGUUCUCUGUCGGAAGGGACCUCAGACAUGUGGCUCCUGCCCCCUCCAGCUCGGAAAUCGGCAGGCUAGGAUGCAAGUGGCCUUGCUGGGGGGCCCUUCCAAGGGCCGAGGGACCAGCCUCUCGAACGGGCUCGGCGCUCCAGUGACCUUCGCGUCCCCCUCCUCCUUGAAUUGUCUGGAAAACAGAAUGGACAGAUUUUCUGUCUUCAAAGUUUCCGGCUAAACCUCUUCAAAGUUCUUUAUUGUUUGGGACUGAGACUGAGACACUCAGCAGUGCUAAUGGGUAGUUCCUUUUGUAUUUGCCCUGAAAGGCCAAAAUAUUUUUAUAUCGCUCCAGACAAAGCCGUCUAUUUUAAGAUGAACUCUGUCCGUCGUUGGCCACCGGG